CUGAUUUUCAUGUAUUAGUUAUUUUUACCCUCUUCAAAAUCUAUCAACUGUUCAAACCUGCAUACACAAACAGGAACAUUGGGGAGAAGAGUCCCAGAGGGUGGAAGAUCCCCUACUCAUCCCACGUGCCUCACCUCAUGUCACACACUCCUCUCUCUCUCCCCUUGCUGGGGACCUACCCCAAGGCCAUCCCAGCUGGUCUCAAGGCACUGACCGAGUCCUGCUUCACAGCCGCUGGAAGUGCCAACCCACUCGCGUCCCCAAACCCGAUCCUUCCACGGGACACCCAGCUAGGGUCUACAGCGAGUGACCCUGCCGUGAGAGGCGCGGCCCCCAUCACCUGCCCAAGCCGGCGGAGCAGGGCCUGAAGCCCCGCGCGCUCAGCCAACCGCAGCUCCCCAGGCCGCUCUCCAGGACCCAACUCAGGCGAGCACAGGAGCCCCUGUUUGGGGUUAUUUGUUCGCCUCCCUCCUGGUUCCUGCUCCCAAACCUUCCACCCAGCAGCCGCCGCCAGCGCACCCGAACCGCAGGAAAGUUGCUCUCUAGCUGUGGAGGGGAGUCAUCGCCUCCUAGCAACGCUCCUAGCAACCGGUAACAUCUGCUCCCUCUGGUCCAAUGCGAGCCGAGAACAGCUGCGCGCCCGCCUCGCGUCGCGAACCCUGAGCGAGAGGAGCUUCAGAGACUGGAGGGACGGACCUGCAGGAGCCAGGGCAGCCCGCCGAGCUGCAGUUGCCUCUGCUGCCACUGUCGCGCCGCCGCCGCCGUCGCUGUCCCUGUCAGCGCCCGUCUGAAGAGGGACAGCGCCGCAAAACGGGAGGGAGCACCGGAUCCCGCGCCUUUAUGAAACAGGUGCGUGCACCUGUCUCCUGGUGAGUGGACCCAGAUCGCAAGGUAGCCAUUCAUGAGCCCGAGGCUUUGAGAAAUGCUCGCUGUGCAAAGGGGAACUCUCACCAGAUUUUCUGAAGCUGUCCUAGAGAUACACUUUUCAGAUUGAUUCAGCAUUACCAGCUUAUCCAGCAAAAGUAUUAACACAUACGUUAACAACGUCGAAAGUAGCCUACUUUAAGAGAAAAUAUGCAGAAGAAGAAGAUUUACAUCAAGAUUACCAUGGGUAUUUUCCAAAACACCUGAUACUGCCUGAGGACAGGACUUGCAUUCUCAAACUUUCUCUAGAGAAGCUCAGAUUUCUUGAAGACCCAGAAACCUACUUAAGAAGGUCUGUGUUAAUUAACAAUUUGCUGAGGAAGAUCCAUCUAGAGACGGAGAAAGAGAGCUAUGAAUACUUUAAAGAAGCUCCCUGUUAUAAGACUGCUUAUUCUGAUAC